GGUAGGGGAGCGUACUGUACGGGUAGAAGGCAAAGCGUAAGCUAAGCUGGACUGUACAGUAGAGAGAAUGCCGGCAUGAGUAACGAGAGUAAGGUGAGAAACCUUACCGCCGGAAGCCUGAGGUUUCCUGGGGAAGGGUAAUCCACCCAGGGUAAGUCGGGGCCUAAGCCGAGGCUUAAAGCGUAGGCGAUGGGGAACCGGUAGAUAUUCCGGUACCACCGAGGGCCGCAAAGAGAGGCGGGGACGCAGCGAGAUAGGUGGAGCGUGCGGUUGGUAGGGCACGUCCAAUCAGGCACCGAAGGGUACGUAGGCAAAUCCGCGUACUGGCAGGGGUCUGAGAAGGGGAGCCGGAAGGCGAAGCCACCGAAGCAGCUGCCGAGAAAAGCCGCUAUCGAGGCCUGAGGUGCCCGUACUACAAACCGACACAGGUAGGCGAGGAGAGAAUCCACAGGCGAGCGGGAGAACCCUCAUUAAGGAACUCGGCAAAAUGACUCCGUAACUUCGGGAGAAGGAGUGCCGAAAGGCCGCAGAGAAGAGGCCCAAGCGACUGUUUACCAAAAACACAGGUCUCUGCUAAGUCGGAAGACGAAGUAUAGGGGCUGACGCCUGCCCGGUGCUGGAAGGUUAAGGGGAAGUGUGAGAGCACUGAACCGAAGCCCCAGUGAACGGCGGCCGUAACUAUAACGGUCCUAAGGUAGCGAAAUUCCUUGUCGGGUAAGUUCCGACCCGCACGAAAGGCGUAACGACUUGGGCGCUGUCUUGAUGAGGGGCCCGGUGAAAUUGUAGUACUCGUGAAGAUGCGAGUUACCCGCGAUUGGACAGAAAGACCCCGUGGAGCUUUACUGUAGCCUGUCACUGGAUUUUGGUAAUUCUUGUACAGGAUAGGUGGGAGACAGAGAAGGUAGGGCGCCAGCCUUACUGGAGUCGACGUUGGGAUACCACCCUGGGAUUACCGGAAUUCUAACCUAUAGCCGUGAAACCGGCGUAGGGACAAUGGCAGGUGGGCAGUUUGACUGGGGCGGUCGCCUCCUAAAGGGUAACGGAGGCGCCCAAAGGUUACCUCAGCGCGGACGGGAAUCGCGCGAAAGAGUGCAAAGGCAGAAGGUAGCCUGACUGCGAGAGAGACAUCUCGAGCAGGGACGAAAGUCGGGCUUAGUGAUCCGGCGGCAGUGAGUGGGAACGCCGUCGCUCAACGGAUAAAAGCUACCCCGGGGAUAACAGGCUGAUCUCCCCCAAGAGUCCACAUCGACGGGGAGGUUUGGCACCUCGAUGUCGGCUCAUCGCAUCCUGGGGCUGAAGUAGGUCCCAAGGGUUGGGCUGUUCGCCCAUUAAAGCGGUACGCGAGCUGGGUUCAGAACGUCGUGAGACAGUUCGGUCCCUAUCCGUCGCGGGCGUAGGAAACUUGAGAGGCACUGCCCCUAGUACGAGAGGACCGGGGUGGACGAACCGAUGGUGUACCAGUUGCACCGCCAGGUGCACAGCUGGGUAGCCAAGUUCGGAAGGGAUAAACGCUGAAAGCAUCUAAGCGUGAAGCCCGCCUCAAGAUUAGGUUUCCCAUCCGAGAGGGGUAAGACACCUCGAAGACCACGAGGUAGAUAGGCCGGGGGUGUAAGAGUGGAAACACUCUUAGCUGACCGGUACUAAUCAGUCGAGGACUUGACCGA
rnacentral:rRNA from 1 species